CCUACGGGUGGCAGCAGUGGGGGAUAUUGCACAAUGGGGGAAACCCUGAUGCAGCGACGCCGCGUGGGCGAAGAAGUAUUUCGGUAUGUAAAGCUCUAUCAGCAGGGAAGAAGUAACGACGGUACCUGAGUAAGAAGCACCGUCUAAAUACGUGCCAGCCGCCGCGGUAAGACGUAUGGUGCAAGCGUUAUCCGGAUGUACUGGGGGCAAAGGGAGCGCAGGCGGCACGGCAAGUCUGAUGUGAAAGCCCGCGGCCGAACCGCGGAACUGCUUUGGGAACUGCCGGGCUAGAGUGCCGGAGAGGUAGGCGGAAUUCCUAGUGUAGGAGUGAAAUCCGUAGAUAUCAGGAGGAACAUCAGUGGCGAAGGCGACUAUCUGG
rnacentral:rRNA from 1 species